GUUGGUUCUGCUCCCCAUCAUUCCUUUUUUUUGAUCUGUGAUAUCAUAAAGGCCUCACUUCAGAGAAAUUCGUUGGCACAUGCUGCUCUGCCUUGGCUAAGACAGACCCAUGCAAGACAGAUCUCACAGUCAAGGAAAGGGACUAACAAGGACUAAGGAAGAAAUUCUCCAUGGACCUUUUAGGUACAAGCUGUAGAUGUUACCAGUGUCCUCUGGCCUUUCCUAAGGAAGUUCCUGUGGUCAAGAUUCUGCCUUAUCUGAGGUCUCUGGCUGAGUUUGGGUCAUCAUUACCUGCAGUCUGAGAUAGAGAAGGCAAGCCAAGAAAACAGAGAAAUAGAUGGAACCAAGCCCUGUAUCUGAGCAAGCUCUCUAGAAGCAAAUACAGACACGUUUCAGGGCUGGCAGAACACUGUGCUGAAAUUAAGUGGCGUGGGUUGUGACGGAAACACAAUUUUUCAGAUCUGGUAAUGCAUGCCAGUGAAUAAAACUUCCAUAGGCUGUACAGCAGCACCUAAAUAUUUGUCCUACUGCUGUUCAUCCAUAGCUGGCACACAUUCAGAGACUACAAAGACAAAGCCAAACCAAAGCUCAGACUGACUUUUCUACCUCUAAUUUGCAUUGCACUUUUCCCUCCAGGGAUCUUUCAUGGCUUGGUUUGGAUUCCAUCCCAGCUCAGUCCCAAACAGAGAGAUGUAUCAAACAAUUUCAACACACUGACAUAUUUCAUUUUGAAUUUAAGUAUUUGAAAUUACUUUGAAAGCACAUUCAUGACAUUUCAAUACUCUACUGGGUAACUUUUUAAUUCACCCAUUUUUCACCUCAUGGGUAGAGUGUAGGGCAGUGGGUCUAAACUAAAACCAGAAAACUGCACCAGGACAGAAUGCAAGCUCUUUGGGUGGAGUACUGUUUGCCCAGGGGAAAUUAAAACUUCAUUACUAGCUAUUCAAAAUUUGGUUAUACCAAAUACUGUUCACCAUGAGCAGGACACAGCCAUGAGUCAGCAGCAAAAGGAGACUCCAUGAGGCAAAUAAAGUAGUUCUGACUUUCCCCCCUUCACUGCAGAGGCAGAGAAGGGGACAACUAACUACUAAAUGCAUUCAGAACAUGGAGCAAAUAUGAAGGACCAGAGCAACUUUGCAACUUAAUCAAAAGCCUGUCGAAAUAACAAACUAUAUACCUACAGGGAAAUACUAUCAGGAGGGGCCAUCAAAACCAUUUUCCUCACUGUAACAGACAAGUUGGACAGCAGUAAAGGACAGCUGGCUCACCCACAGCAGCACUCCCCUUUCAAUUGACUCCCAUGCAUGGUCACUGGGGCUUCCAUUGCCAAAAGCCACAGAGUGCAAAAGCAGUCUGACUUUGGAUGAAUUCUUGCUAGGACUGAAACCUGCAGAGGUGAAUUGGGUGCACAGAGAAAGAACUCUAGCAAGGAAAAGAAAAAAGCCAGAAAACAAUGCUUAAUAAACUAUAAAUA